ACAUUAUGAUAUUUCCUAUACACCAAUUCAUAUUCUUCUUCUUCUUCUUCCUUUGUUCUUCUUCUCAAAGUUGAAUUUAAAAUAGGAUAUUCAGCAAGAGAAAGAGAGGCAGCCUUGAUCAUAAAGGGCAGAUAAGAGAUUCUAUGAGAUUU
rnacentral:ribozyme from 14 species